GGUUAAGUGACUAAGCGUAGACGGUGGAUGCCUUGGCAGUCAGAGGCGAUGAAGGACGUACUAACCUGCGAAAAGCGAUGGUGAGCUGGUAAGAAGCAUUUGAGCCAUCGAUGUCCGAAUGGGGAAACCCACCUGCAUAAGUAGGUAUCUUAGCGUGAAUCCAUAGCGCUAAGAGGCGAACUCGGGGAACUGAAACAUCUAAGUACCCGAAGGAAAAGAAAUCAAUUGAGAUUCCGGCAGUAGCGGCGAGCGACCCCGGAGCAGCCCUUAAGCGGCUUAGGCGUUAGGUGAACAGGUUGGAAAACCUGGCAAUAAAGGGUGAUAGCCCCGUAACCGACGGCGCCUUAGGCGUGAAAACGAGUAGGACGGGACACGUGAUAUCUUGUCUGAACAUGGGGGGACCAUCCUCCAAGGCUAAAUACUCCUGACUGACCGAUAGUGAACCAGUACCGUGAGGGAAAGGCGAAAAGAACCCCUGUGAGGGGAGUGAAAUAGAACCUGAAACCGUCUACGUACAAGCAGUGGGAGCCCCAUCACUAAGACACUUCAUCUUAGUGAGACGCUAUCACUUUGUUGACUGGGUUAACCACGCGCAGCGUGGGUCAACCGCCCAAUCCAGCAGAGGUGACUUAGUGAUGGGGUGACCGCGUACCUUUUGUAUAAUGGGUCAGCGACUUAAUGUUAGUAGCAAGGUUAACCGCAUAGGGGAGCCGUAGGGAAACCGAGUCUUAACUGGGCGUGUAGUUGCUAGCAUUAGACCCGAAACCGAGUGAUCUAGCCAUGGGCAGGUUGAAGGUUGAGUAACAUCAACUGGAGGACCGAACUCACUAACGUUGAAAAGUUAGGAGAUGACCUGUGGCUAGGGGUGAAAGGCCAAUCAAACUCGGAGAUAGCUGGUUCUCCCCGAAAGCUAUUUAGGUAGCGCCUCGGACGAAUACUACUGGGGGUAGAGCACUGUUAAGGCUAGGGGGUCAUCCCGACUUACCAACCCUUUGCAAACUCCGAAUACCAGUAAGUACUAUCCGGGAGACACACGGCGGGUGCUAACGUCCGUCGUGGAGAGGGAAACAACCCAGACCGCCAGCUAAGGUCCCAAAGUUAUCGCUAAGUGGGAAACGAUGUGGGAAGGCUCAGACAGCCAGGAUGUUGGCUUAGAAGCAGCCAUCAUUUAAAGAAAGCGUAAUAGCUCACUGGUCGAGUCGGCCUGCGCGGAAGAUGUAACGGGGCUAAGCGAUACACCGAAGCUGCGGCAAUGGCUGCAUCACUUAAAGCUAUUGGAUUGACGUUAUGCGCGAAGCGCGUGGUUAAUAACGUCAAAGCGCCCAACAAUGGUUGAGGCGAAUAAAGAUAGUGGCUUUAAGGAUGCAGCUAUUGGGUAGGGGAGCGUUGUGUAAGCUGUUGAAGGUGUGCUGAGAGGCAUGCUGGAGGUAUCACAAGUGCGAAUGCUGACAUGAGUAACGAUAAAGGGGGUGAAAAACCUCCUCGCCGGAAGACCAAGGGUUCCUGUCCAACGUUAAUCGGGGCAGGGUAAGUCGGCCCCUAAGGCGAGGCCGAAAGGCGUAGUCGAUGGGAAACGGGUUAAUAUUCCCGUACUGCUGCUUACUGCGAUGGGGGGACGGAGAAGGCUAGGUGGGCCUGGCGAUGGUUGUCCAGGUUCAAGUGCGUAGGCUGAUUUCUUAGGCAAAUCCGGGAAAUCAAGGCCGAGACACGAUGUCGAGCCACCAAGGUGGUGAAGUCAUUGAUGCCAUGCUUCCGGGAAAAGCCUCUAAGCUUCAGGUAAGUAGCAACCGUACUCCAAACCGACACAGGUGGUCGGGUAGAGAAUACCAAGGCGCUUGAGAGAACUCGGGUGAAGGAACUAGGCAAAAUGGUACCGUAACUUCGGGAGAAGGUACGCUGCCCGCGGUGAAGUCCCUUGCGGAUGGAGCUAUGGGCAGUCGCAGAUACCAGGUGGCUGCAACUGUUUAUUAAAAACACAGCACUGUGCAAAAUCGAAAGAUGACGUAUACGGUGUGACGCCUGCCCGGUGCCGGAAGGUUAAUUGAUGUGGUUAUCGCAAGAGAAGCCAUUGAUUGAAGCCCCGGUAAACGGCGGCCGUAACUAUAACGGUCCUAAGGUAGCGAAAUUCCUUGUCGGGUAAGUUCCGACCUGCACGAAUGGCGUAAUGAUGGCCACGCUGUCUCCACCCGAGACUCAGUGAAAUUGAAAUCGCAGUGAAGAUGCUGUGUACCCGCGGCUAGACGGAAAGACCCCGUGAACCUUUACUACAGCUUGGCACUGAACAUUGAGCCUACAUGUGUAGGAUAGGUGGGAGGCUUUGAAGCGGCGACGCCAGUUGCUGUGGAGCCAUCCUUGAAAUACCACCCUUGUAUGUUUGAUGUUCUAACUUAGCCCCGUUAUCCGGGGUGAGGACAGUGCCUGGUGGGUAGUUUGACUGGGGCGGUCUCCUCCCAAAGUGUAACGGAGGAGCACGAAGGUGGGCUAAUCACGGUCGGACAUCGUGAGGUUAGUGCAAUGGCAUAAGCCCGCUUAACUGCGAGAGUGACGGCUCGAGCAGGUACGAAAGUAGGUCAUAGUGAUCCGGUGGUUCUGAAUGGAAGGGCCAUCGCUCAACGGAUAAAAGGUACUCCGGGGAUAACAGGCUGAUACCGCCCAAGAGUUCAUAUCGACGGCGGUGUUUGGCACCUCGAUGUCGGCUCAUCACAUCCUGGGGCUGAAGUCGGUCCCAAGGGUAUGGCUGUUCGCCAUUUAAAGUGGUACGCGAGCUGGGUUUAGAACGUCGUGAGACAGUUCGGUCCCUAUCUGCCGUGGGCGUUGGAUGAUUGAGGGGAGCUGCUCCUAGUACGAGAGGACCGGAGUGGACGAACCGCUGGUGUUCGGGUUGUGUCGCCAGACGCAUUGCCCGGUAGCUAAGUUCGGCACAGAUAAGCGCUGAAAGCAUCUAAGCGCGAAGCUGGCCCCGAGAUGAGUCAUCCCUAGAGCUUCGAGCUCUCUAAAGGGUUGUUCUAGACGAGAACGUUGAUAGGCAGGGUGUGUAAGCGCUGUGAGGCGUUGAGCUAACCUGUACUAAUGGCCCGUGAGGCUUAACCAU
rnacentral:rRNA from 1 species